UUCCUACGGGGGGCAGCAGUGAGGAAUAUUGGUCAAUGGACGAGAGUCUGAACCAGCCAAGUCGCGUGAAGGAUGACUGCCCUAUGGGUUGUAAACUUCUUUUAUAAAGGAAUAAAACGAGGCACGUGUGCCUUUUUGCAUGUACUUUAUGAAUAAGGAUCGGCUAACUCCGUGCCAGCAGCCGCGGUAAUACGGAGGAUCCGAGCGUUAUCCGGAUUUAUUGGGUUUAAAGGGCGUGUAGGCAGGAGCGCAAGUCAGAUGUGAAAACUCAAGGCUCAACCCUGAGCCUGCAUUUGAAACUGUGU
rnacentral:rRNA from 1 species